GGGGAAUCUUGGACAAUGGGCGCAAGCCUGAUCCAGCCAUGCCGCGUGAGUGAUGAAGGCCCUAGGGUUGUAAAACUCUUUCGUGGGGGACGAUAAUGACGGUACCCCAAGAAGAAGCUCCGGCUAACUUCGUGCCAGCAGCCGCGGUAAUACGAAGGGGGCUAGCGUUGUUCGGAUUUACUGGGCGUAAAGCGCGUGUAGGCGGGUCGUUAAGUUGGGGGUGAAAUCCCGGAGCUCAACUCCGGAACUGCCUUCAAAACUGGCGACCUGGACUCAAGCAGAGGCAAGUGGAAUUGCGAGUGUAGAGGUGAAAUUCGUAGAUAUUCGCAGGAACACCAGUGGCGAAGGCGACUUGCUGGGCUUGUAGUGACGCUGAGACGCGAAAGCGUGGGGAGCAAAC
rnacentral:rRNA from 1 species